GCCGGGUGCCGUGGUGGGCACCUGUAGUCCCAGCUACUCGGGAGGCUGAGGCAGGAGAACUGCUUGAACCCGGGAGGCGGAGGUUGCAGUGAGCCGAGAACACGCCACUGCACUCCAGCCUGGGCAACAGAGCAAGACUCUGUCUCAA
rnacentral:SRP_RNA from 2 species